CCUGAGAAACCUAAAAGAUCGAAUGAGGAGACUCAUCGUCAGUGUAAUUGGCUAUCAUGUGGUAUAGCGAUGAUUCGAAAUUUAUUUUGUUUCACACUGCCACUGUGAUUGUGUCCAUUUACGUCGGCGUGCACUUCUCCUCUAGUAGAACGUCGCGACCCGCUGGGUGUCGAUUUAAGGGCCAAGAUUGUUGACUGUAUUCAUUUUAAUGUUGUACAGACGCUUGGACUUCCCAAUCGACUGCUCGGCGGUAUAUACAAUGGUAUCGAGCCGCACUUGAAUGCGUUCAGACACGUUGCAAGCUUGAUUUCAAUCUGGAUUACGGACCUAGUGCCG
rnacentral:rRNA from 3 species